rnacentral:rRNA from 1 species
CCUACGGGUCGCAGCAGUGGGGAAUAUUGCACAAUGGGCGCAAGCCUGAUGCAGCCAUGCCGCGUGUAUGAAGAAGGCCUUCGGGUUGUAAAGUACUUUCAGCGGGGAGGAAGGCGAUAAGGUUAAUAACCUUGUCGAUUGACGUUACCCGCAGAAGAAGGACCGGCUAACUCCGCGCCAGCAGCCGCGGUAAUACGGAGGGUGCAAUCGUUAAUCGGAAUUACUGGGCGUAAAGCGCACGCAGGCGGUCUGUCAAGUCGGAUGUGAAAUCCCCGGGCUCAACCUGGGAACUGCAUUCGAAACUGGCAGGCUAGAGUCUUGUAGAGGGGGGUAGAAUUCCUGGUGUAGCGGUGAAAUGCGUAGAGAUCUGGAGGAAUACCGGUGGCGAAGGCGGCCCCCUGGACAAAGACUGACGCUCAGGUGCGAAAGCGUGGGGAGCAGACAGGAUUAGAUACCCGAGUAGUC